UGUUAUUGUUUUUGUUGUUGCUAAUGGUGGUGUUUUUUUCCUUUCAUUACAGGUUAAGAAAUCUCUUAGGCCUUAUCCUUUUCUGACAGUUUUAGGGAUUUAAAAACAUCCUAAGAACCCUAAUUUGUGCUGCAAAUAAUAAUUUCAAACUCAUUUGAUACUGACCUAUGACAACCUGUGACGUGACAUGACAUUUAUUAAUCUCAUGGAUGUAACAGUAAAACUCUUCAACUGACAGAUAAAGCUGUAAUGCAAGCAAAACUAUUUCACAAA